GCCGUCCAAAGUGACCUCUGCAAAGUCCAGAAACAAGUCCUCAUGACAUCCUUCGCCACCAGCAUCUCACUGUGGUUCCCACUGAAGAGAAGGAAGAGGAGAAAUAAAAUGACAAGAGUGAGACAAAACCUACGAGAAUGAUUAUCAAAAGAACAUUCCUUCCCAAAGAGAGCAGUAUGCAAAGAAGAGGGAAAGGCAACAUUACCGUGGAGAAGUCUCACAAAUGCUUCCUCAGCCAGACAAUCAAGGUCAACAUCAACAGAGGUGGCCCAGUGUUUCGUUGGUUCGAAUCCUGGGCGCGGACAUGGCACUGCUCAUCAAGCCACGCUGAGGCAGCGUCCCACAUGCCACAACUAGAAGGACCCACAACGAAGAAUAUACAACUAUGUACCGGGGGAGCUUUGGG
rnacentral:lncRNA from 1 species